UCCCUGGUGGCGCAGCAGUAAAGAAUCUGCCUACAAUGCAGGAGACUCAGGUUCGAUCCCUGGCUUGGGAA
rfam:TPA: Bos taurus chromosome 9, whole genome shotgun sequence.